UACGUAGGCAGCAAGCGUUGUUCGGAUUCAUUGGGCGUAAAGGGUGCGUAGGCGGCGGGGCAAGUCUGAUGUGAAAUCCCGGGGCUCAACCCCGGAACUGCAUUGGAUACUGCCUUGCUAGAGUACUGGAGAGGGAACUGGAAUUUACGGUGUAGCAGUGAAAUGCGUAGAUAUCGUAAGGAAGACCAGUGGCGAAGGCGAGUUCCUGGACAGUUACUGACGCUGAGGCACGAAGGCCAGGGGAGCAAACGGGG
rnacentral:rRNA from 1 species